AGAGUUUGAUCCUGGCUCAGGAUGAACGCUAGCGGCAGGCUUAAUACAUGCAAGUCGAACGGUAAGUAGUGUAGCAAUACAUUACCAAGAGUGACGUACGGGUGCGUAACACGUAUGCAACCUACCUUGUACUGGAGGAUAGCUCGGGGAAACUCGAAUUAACCCUCCAUAAUAUAAUUGGAUGGCAUCAUUUGAUUAUUAAAAUUCCGGUGGUACAAGAUGGGCAUGCGUCUGAUUAGUUAGUUGGCGGGGUAACGGCCCACCAAGACGAUGAUCAGUAGGGGAACUGAGAGGUUGAUCCCCCACACUGGCACUGAGAUACGGGCCAGACUCCUACGGGAGGCAGCAGUAGGGAAUAUUGGGUCAAAUGGGUGCAAGCCCUGAACCAGCCAUGCCCGCGUGCAGGAAAGAAGGCCUUCCUGGGGUUUGUAAAACUGCUUUUGGCAGGGGAUAAAAUGACCAUGGCGUGGGUUAUUGGAAGGUACCUGGGUGAAAUAAGCCCCCGGCUAACUAAGUGGCCAGCAGCCCCGGGUAAUUCGUAAGUGGGCAAGCGUUGUCCCGGAUUUAUAUGGGUUUAAAGGGUGCGUAAGCCGGCCUGUGUAAUCAGUGCUGUAAAUCCCCCCGGCUUAACCCGGGGUGGUGGCAUUUAUACUGCAGGGCUUGGGUACAGGAUGAGAGUAAGCGGAAAUUUACCGUGUAUCGGUGAAAUGCAUAGAUAUCCUCCAGAGCACCGAUAGCGAAGGAGCCUUACUGGCUGUAACUGAACGUCUGAUCACACGAAAAUGUUGGGUCUCAAACCAGGAUUGAGAUCCCUGUGAUAGUCCACACUGUAAACGUUAAUUACUCGCUGUUUUGCGAAUACCACACCAAGCGGCUUAAGCGAAAGACGCGAUAAAUGUAAAUCCCACCUGGGGAGUUACCGCCCGGCCACCGUGUGAAAACUCUCAAAGGGAAUUGACCGGAGGUUCCCGCCCACAAAGGCGGUUGGAGCAUGGUGGUUUUAUUUCGAUGAUAUACGCGCGAAGGAACCUUUACCCUGGACUUAGAAAUUGCCCUUGACCUGAGAGCAGAAAUGGUUUUCGUUUCAGCAAUGACAAAGGAGCAAAGGUGCUGCAUGGCUGUCGUCAGCUUCGUGCCGUGAGGUGUUGGGUUAAGUCCCGCAACGAGCGCAACCCCUAUUUUUAGUUGCCAGCACGUAAUGGUGGGGACUCUAAAAAGACUGCCUGCGCAAGCAGAGAGGAAGGAGGGGACGACGUCAAGUCAUCAUGGCCCUUACGUCCAGGGCUACACACGUGCUACAAUGGCGUAUACAAAGUGUUGCGACCUGGUGACAGGGAGCCAAUCACAAAAAGUACGUCUCAGUUCGGAUUGCAGGCUGCAACUCGCCUGCAUGAAGUUGGAAUCGCUAGUAAUCGCAAAUCAGCAAUGUUGCGGUGAAUACGUUCCCGGACCUUGUACACACCGCCCGUCAAGCCAUGGGAGUUGGGAGGACCUGAAGACAGUUGCUGUAAGGCGCUGUUUAGGGUUAAACCGAUGACUAGGGCUAAGUCGUAACAAGGUAACC
rnacentral:rRNA from 1 species